rnacentral:rRNA from 1 species
UUAAGCGACUAAGCGUACACGGUGGAUGCCUUGGCAGUCAGAGGCGAUGAAGGACGUGCUAAUCUGCGAUAAGCGUCGGUAAGGUGAUAUGAACCGUUAUAACCGACGAUUUCCGAAUGGGGAAACCCAGUGUGUUUCGACACACUAUCAUUAACUGAAUCCAUAGGUUAAUGAGGCGAACCGGGGGAACUGAAACAUCUAAGUACCCCGAGGAAAAGAAAUCAACCGAGAUUCCCCCAGUAGCGGCGAGCGAACGGGGAGGAGCCCAGAGCCUGAAUCAGUGUGUGUGUUAGUGGAAGCGUCUGGAAAGGCGCGCGAUACAGGGUGACAGCCCCGUACACAAAAAUGCACAUGCUGUGAGCUCGAUGAGUAGGGCGGGACACGUGGUAUCCUGUCUGAAUAUGGGGGGACCAUCCUCCAAGGCUAAAUACUCCUGACUGACCGAUAGUGAACCAGUACCGUGAGGGAAAGGCGAAAAGAACCCCGGCGAGGGGAGUGAAAAAGAACCUGAAACCGUGUACGUACAAGCAGUGGGAGCACAGAGCAAUCUGUGUGACUGCGUACCUUUUGUAUAAUGGGUCAGCGACUUAUAUUCUGUAGCAAGGUUAACCGAAUAGGGGAGCCGAAGGGAAACCGAGUCUUAACUGGGCGUUAAGUUGCAGGGUAUAGACCCGAAACCCGGUGAUCUAGCCAUGGGCAGGUUGAAGGUUGGGUAACACUAACUGGAGGACCGAACCGACUAAUGUUGAAAAAUUAGCGGAUGACUUGUGGCUGGGGGUGAAAGGCCAAUCAAACCGGGAGAUAGCUGGUUCUCCCCGAAAGCUAUUUAGGUAGCGCCUCGUGAAUUCAUCUCCGGGGGUAGAGCACUGUUUCGGCAAGGGGGUCAUCCCGACUUACCAACCCGAUGCAAACUGCGAAUACCGGAGAAUGUUAUCACGGGAGACACACGGCGGGUGCUAACGUCCGUCGUGAAGAGGGAAACAACCCAGACCGCCAGCUAAGGUCCCAAAGUCAUGGUUAAGUGGGAAACGAUGUGGGAAGGCCCAGACAGCCAGGAUGUUGGCUUAGAAGCAGCCAUCAUUUAAAGAAAGCGUAAUAGCUCACUGGUCGAGUCGGCCUGCGCGGAAGAUGUAACGGGGCUAAACCAUGCACCGAAGCUGCGGCAGCGACACUAUGUGUUGUUGGGUAGGGGAGCGUUCUGUAAGCCUGUGAAGGUGUGCUGUGAGGCAUGCUGGAGGUAUCAGAAGUGCGAAUGCUGACAUAAGUAACGAUAAAGCGGGUGAAAAGCCCGCUCGCCGGAAGACCAAGGGUUCCUGUCCAACGUUAAUCGGGGCAGGGUGAGUCGACCCCUAAGGCGAGGCCGAAAGGCGUAGUCGAUGGGAAACAGGUUAAUAUUCCUGUACUUGGUGUUACUGCGAAGGGGGGACGGAGAAGGCUAUGUUGGCCGGGCGACGGUUGUCCCGGUUUAAGCGUGUAGGCUGGUUUUCCAGGCAAAUCCGGAAAAUCAAGGCUGAGGCGUGAUGACGAGGCACUACGGUGCUGAAGCAACAAAUGCCCUGCUUCCAGGAAAAGCCUCUAAGCAUCAGGUAACAUCAAAUCGUACCCCAAACCGACACAGGUGGUCAGGUAGAGAAUACCAAGGCGCUUGAGAGAACUCGGGUGAAGGAACUAGGCAAAAUGGUGCCGUAACUUCGGGAGAAGGCACGCUGAUAUGUAGGUGAAGCGACUUGCUCGUGGAGCUGAAAUCAGUCGAAGAUACCAGCUGGCUGCAACUGUUUAUUAAAAACACAGCACUGUGCAAACACGAAAGUGGACGUAUACGGUGUGACGCCUGCCCGGUGCCGGAAGGUUAAUUGAUGGGGUCAGCGCAAGCGAAGCUCUUGAUCGAAGCCCCGGUAAACGGCGGCCGUAACUAUAACGGUCCUAAGGUAGCGAAAUUCCUUGUCGGGUAAGUUCCGACCUGCACGAAUGGCGUAAUGAUGGCCAGGCUGUCUCCACCCGAGACUCAGUGAAAUUGAACUCGCUGUGAAGAUGCAGUGUACCCGCGGCAAGACGGAAAGACCCCGUGAACCUUUACUAUAGCUUGACACUGAACAUUGAGCCUUGAUGUGUAGGAUAGGUGGGAGGCUUUGAAGUGUGGACGCCAGUCUGCAUGGAGCCGACCUUGAAAUACCACCCUUUAAUGUUUGAUGUUCUAACGUUGACCCGUAAUCCGGGUUGCGGACAGUGUCUGGUGGGUAGUUUGACUGGGGCGGUCUCCUCCUAAAGAGUAACGGAGGAGCACGAAGGUUGGCUAAUCCUGGUCGGACAUCAGGAGGUUAGUGCAAUGGCAUAAGCCAGCUUGACUGCGAGCGUGACGGCGCGAGCAGGUGCGAAAGCAGGUCAUAGUGAUCCGGUGGUUCUGAAUGGAAGGGCCAUCGCUCAACGGAUAAAAGGUACUCCGGGGAUAACAGGCUGAUACCGCCCAAGAGUUCAUAUCGACGGCGGUGUUUGGCACCUCGAUGUCGGCUCAUCACAUCCUGGGGCUGAAGUAGGUCCCAAGGGUAUGGCUGUUCGCCAUUUAAAGUGGUACGCGAGCUGGGUUUAGAACGUCGUGAGACAGUUCGGUCCCUAUCUGCCGUGGGCGCUGGAGAACUGAGGGGGGCUGCUCCUAGUACGAGAGGACCGGAGUGGACGCAUCACUGGUGUUCGGGUUGUCAUGCCAAUGGCACUGCCCGGUAGCUAAAUGCGGAAGAGAUAAGUGCUGAAAGCAUCUAAGCACGAAACUUGCCCCGAGAUGAGUUCUCCCUGACUCCUUGAGAGUCCUGAAGGAACGUUGAAGACGACGACGUUGAUAGGCCGGGUGUGUAAGCGCAGCGAUGCGUUGAGCUAACCGGUACUAAUGAACCGUGAGGCUUAACCUU